GUCGAACGACUCUGGUAUUGAUUGGUGCUUGCAUCAUGAUUUACAUUUGAGUGAGUGGCGAACUGGUGAGUAACACGUGGGAAACCUGCCCAGAAGCGGGGGAUAACACCUGGAAACAGAUGCUAAUACCGCAUAACAACUUGGACCGCAUGGUCCGAGUUUGAAAGAUGGCUUCGGCUAUCACUUUUGGAUGGUCCCGCGGCGUAUUAGCUAGAUGGUGGGGUAACGGCUCACCAUGGCAAUGAUACGUAGCCGACCUGAGAGGGUAAUCGGCCACAUUGGGACUGAGACACGGCCCAAACUCCUACGGGAGGCAGCAGUAGGGAAUCUUCCACAAUGGACGAAAGUCUGAUGGAGCAACGCCGCGUGAGUGAAGAAGGGUUUCGGCUCGUAAAACUCUGUUGUUAAAGAAGAACAUAUCUGAGAGUAACUGUUCAGGUAUUGACGGUAUUUAACCAGAAAGCCACGGCUAACUACGUGCCAGCAGCCGCGGUAAUACGUAGGUGGCAAGCGUUGUCCGGAUUUAUUGGGCGUAAAGCGAGCGCAGGCGGUUUUUUAAGUCUGAUGUGAAAGCCUUCGGCUCAACCGAAGAAGUGCAUCGGAAACUGGGAAACUUGAGUGCAGAAGAGGACAGUGGAACUCCAUGUGUAGCGGUGAAAUGCGUAGAUAUAUGGAAGAACACCAGUGGCGAAGGCGGCUGUCUGGUCUGUAACUGACGCUGAGGCUCGAAAGUAUGGGUAGCAAACAGGAUUAGAUACCCUGGUAGUCCAUACCGUAAACGAUGAAUGCUAAGUGUUGGAGGGUUUCCGCCCUUCAGUGCUGCAGCUAACGCAUUAAGCAUUCCGCCUGGGGAGUACGGCCGCAAGGCUG
rnacentral:rRNA from 2 species